rnacentral:rRNA from 1 species
AAAGGAAUUGACGGGAACCCGCACAAGCGGUGGAGUAUGUUGUUUAAUUCGAAGAUACACGAAGAACCUUACCAGGUCUUGACAUACCAUUGACAGGUCUAGAGAUAGAUCCUCCUUCGGGCAAUGGAUACAGGUGGUGCAUGGUUGUCGUCAGCUCGUGCCGUGAGGUGUUGGGUUAAGUCCCGCAACGAGCGCAACCCUCAUUGUUAGUUACUACCAUUCAGUUGAGGACUCUAAUGAGACUGCCAACGACAAGUUGGAGGAAGGUGGGGAUGACGUCAAAUCAUCAUGCCCUUUAUGACCUGGGCUACAAACGUACUACAAUGGCCAAUACAAAGAGAUGCGAAGCGGUGACGUGGAGCGAACCUCAGAAAGUUGGUCUCAGUUCAGAUUGAAGUCUGCAACUCGACUUCAUGAAGGCGGAAUCGCUAGUAAUCGCGAGUCAGCAGAUCGCGGUGAAUACGUUCCCGGGUUUUGUACACACCGCCCGU